rnacentral:rRNA from 1 species
CAGCAGCCGCGGGAAUACCAGCAGCCCAAGUGGUGGUCGCGAUUAUUGGGCCUAAAGCGCUCGUAGCCGGGCCGGUAAGUCCCUUGUGAAAUCGGACGGCCUAACCGUUCGGCGUGCAAGGGAUACUGUCGGUCUUGAGGCCGGGAGACGUCCGAGGUACUCCGGGGGUAGCGGUGAAAUGUUCUGAUCCUCGGGGGACCACCGGUGGCGAAGGCGUUCGACGAGAACGGGCCUGACGGUGAGGGGCGAAGGCUAGGGGAGCAAACGGGAUUAGAGACCCCAGUAGUCCCUGUCUCUUAUA